CAGAACAGCAAAGAUUGCCCUGUUCCUUCCUCUGGAAGCUUCAUCCCAGAGUGGCACCUGCCAGAUGCCAGUAGGAGCUCUCCUAUAUGAGAUGAAGCCCUGAGGCACAGAGAGAUCACUCAGCUAUUAAGUAGUAGAAUCAGGAUUCGGUCCAAGACAGCGGACUCCAGAGCCCACACUGCUAAAUACAAGAACCCUGGAGCCAACAGCCUGGCUUCAAAUCCUAACUUCAUCUACAGUACUUGGAUUAGUGCCUGACUCAGGGUAAGUGUCUAUAAAUGUGAACUAUUUUAAUUAUGUUGAUUGUUAUUAAUAAGUUACUUCUCUGUGAAUAUGCAUAAGUCAUUCAGUGUACUACAGAUGAUACAAAUAUGAUAAGAGAAGGCCCCAGUCCUCAGUGAACUUUCAGUCUUGUGGGAGGAAGACAUACAGUCAACCCUCUGUAUCCUUGGGUUUCACAUCUGAGGACUCAACCAACCACGUUAGAAAAUAUUCAGAAAAAAAAAAAAUAGAUGACUGCACCUGUUCUAAACAUGUACAGACUGUUUUCUUGUCAUUAUUCCCUAAGUGAUAGAGUAUAACAAGUAUUUACAUAGCAUGCACAUUGUAUUAGGUUAUAAAUAAUUUAGAGAUGAUUUAAAGUAUAAAGGAGGAUGUGCACAGGUUACAUGCAAAUAAUAUGCCUUUUAUAUAAGGGUCCUGAGCAUCUAACAUCUUGUUACUAGUGGUUCCUGGACCCAAUCCCCCUUGGAUACUGAGGGAGGACUCUGUUUACCCCAGAGGUGUAAUGGGCUAAGCAUGGGAGAGAUUAUCUCCAAUAGGAAGAUAAAAAAUCAACAAAGACCCCAGUUGUUUUUGAGCAGAACAUAGAAUACAUAAGUUUGUAUUUGAAGAGGUAAGGAGGAGGGCAUUACAGGGCGAAAGGACAGUGUGCACUAAGGCAUUUUGUGUUAAAAAUAUUCAGUGUAUGUUGGAGAAUAGCUUCGCUUGUUUUUUAUUGGCAGGGGGCACAGGCAGGGUAGAAAAAAAAAAAAAAAA